rnacentral:rRNA from 1 species
UACAGAGGUGGCAAGCGUUGUUCGGAAUUACUGGGCGUAAAGGGCGCGUAGGCGGCCAUCUAAGUCAGACGUGAAAUCCACCGGCUUAACCUGGGAACUGCGUCUGAUACUGGAAGGCUUGAGUAUGGGAGAGGGAUGUAGAAUUCCAGGUGUAGCGGUGAAAUGCGUAGAUAUCGUAAGGAAGACCAGUGGCGAAGGCGGGUCUCUGGACAGUUCCUGACGCUGAGGCACGAAGGUCAGGGGAGCAAACGGG